GGAACUAAAAGUCGUAACAAGGUUUCCGUAGGUGAACCUGCGGAAGGAUCAUUAUUGUAUAACCGAGGUGCGAGGGCUGUCGCUGACCCGAAAGGUCGUGCACGCCCGAGUGCCCUCACACACAUCCAUCUCACCCCUAUGUGCACCACCGCGUGGGUCCCCCUUUGGCUUGUUCGGAGGGGGGCUUACGUUUUCACACAAACUUUGUAUGCAGUGUAGAAUGUAUUUUUUGUUUUUGCGAUCACGCAAUCAAUACAACUUUCAACAACGGAUCUCUUGGCUCUC
rnacentral:misc_RNA from 1 species